UGUUAUUGGCAUUCAUGUAUAAUAAACCCUAUUUAGGGAAAUGUAUUUGAUAUAUAAAGUAAUAGAAAUCCACCAAGUUUUGAGUGGAAUUAUUCACCCAAAAGAUUGAGUUCUGUUUUUUUCUUCCCAAAAUUUUGUUCUUCAGUACCCAAAAAGAUGGUUUACAGAUUUGGGUCCCAAAAAGAUGGUUUACAGAUUUCAUCAGGACUGAUUAGAAUUGUGUAUUUCAAAAAUUUCGGUAACAUGGAGGUAAGAAGAUCAAACACCACCUCAUCGUAUAAAGCUUUGAAGAGAUUGGGAUUCUUCAACGUUCUCAAUGGCAUCGAUGAAUACUGGUCCUGAUCAAGAUAUUGUGUCAAUGGGGAAAAGGCAUAUAAUUUCAGAUUAUUAACAGUAAAAGUUUUUAGGGGCAUGAGCUCGCAGUGCAUAUACUCUAUUUUAUCUCCAUUUGCAAAAGUUUCUUCUGGAAGUCGGUUCAAAGGUACAAGGUGAAAAAAUGGCAGUACCGUGUGGAGCCCCAAGUAAAUUAUGUUGCCUUAGGUGGAUAUAUAUUAGCGCCUUUUGUUUUGUCUGGAUGACUGUCUUCAUUAUUUGUUUUCUCGGUUAAGAAAUAAAGAUGCAGACUCCUGUUUUUGCCCAAA